rnacentral:rRNA from 1 species
GGCAGCAGCAUUACCACCCUGUAGCUUGACCUGCGCAGACCUCAGAAGCUAAGCAAGGCUGGGCUGGUCAGAACAAUGAUGGGAGAUCUCUAGGGAAAACGUGGCUGCUGCUGCUG